rnacentral:piRNA from 1 species
UGCAAAAAUGGCUCCAUCGGUAACUC